rnacentral:piRNA from 1 species
CAGAAGUUGGAGUGAGCUGCAUCA